rnacentral:rRNA from 1 species
ACGGGUGAGUAAUGCCUGGGAAAUUGCCCUGAUGUGGGGGAUAACCAUUGGAAACGAUGGCUAAUACCGCAUAAUGUCUACGGACCAAAGAGGGGGACCUUCGGGCCUCUCGCUUCAGGAUAUGCCCAGGUGGGAUUAGCUAGUUGGUGAGGUAAUGGCUCACCAAGGCGACGAUCCCUAGCUGGUCUGAGAGGAUGAUCAGCCACACUGGAACUGAGACACGGUCCAGACUCCUACGGGAGGCAGCAGUGGGGAAUAUUGCACAAUGGGCGCAAGCCUGAUGCAGCCAUGCCGCGUGUAUGAAGAAGGCCUUCGGGUUGUAAAGUACUUUCAGUCGUGAGGAAGGCGUUGAAGUUAAUAGCUUCAUCGUUUGACGUUAGCGACAGAAGAAGCACCGGCUAACUCCGUGCCAGCAGCCGCGGUAAUACGGAGGGUGCGAGCGUUAAUCGGAAUUACUGGGCGUAAAGCGCAUGCAGGUGGNUUGNUAAGUCNGAUGUGAAAGCCCGGGGCUCAACCUCGNACCGCAUUUGAAACUGGCAGGCUA